rnacentral:lncRNA from 1 species
CGGAGCCUGAGCUUGGACAUGGAGCUCUUGCACCAGGACCGAUUGAUUCUUGUGCUUUCUCCUUGCAGCUUCAUGGCCGGAAGGCCCUCGGAUAGCAAGGCUGGAGUGUGGGAAAUGCUGUCUCCUCACAGGAUGGAUGCCGUCAGGGCUCCUGCUUUUUACUUUGAUCUGACGUUGGAAACACUUCCGAGUGAGGCGAGAUACAAAGAGUGAGAAAAGAUACGCAGAUGCAUGGCAAAGACGACGCGUGAGACAGUCUCUGUCUCUAAGGAGCCUGUAAUCAAGCGGAGGCAGGUAAGGGAGAAAUACACGAAAAAGAUACCUAAGAAUGACAAGCAGAGAAUUAGGGUAGUCAGUUCUUAAGC